AACGAACGCUGGCGGCAGGCUUAACACAUGCAAGUCGAGCGAGACCUUCGGGUCUAGCGGCGGACGGGUGAGUAACGCGUGGGAACGUGCCCUUCUCUACGGAAUAGCCCCGGGAAACUGGGAGUAAUACCGUAUACGCCCUUUGGGGGAAAGAUUUAUCGGAGAAGGAUCGGCCCGCGUUGGAUUAGGUAGUUGGUGGGGUAAUGGCCCACCAAGCCGACGAUCCAUAGCUGGUUUGAGAGGAUGAUCAGCCACACUGGGACUGAGACACGGCCCAGACUCCUACGGGAAGCAGCAGUGGGGAAUCUUAGACAAGGGGGGCAACCCUGAUCUAGCCAUGCCGCGUGAGUGAUGAAGGCCUUAGGGUUGUAAAGCUCUUUCAGCUGGGAAGAUAAUGACGGUACCAGCAGAAGAAGCCCCGGCUAACUCCGUG
rnacentral:rRNA from 1 species